GACGAACGCUGGCGGCGUGCUUAACACAUGCAAGUCGAACGGAAAGGCCUCUUUCGGGGGGUACUCGAGUGGCGAACGGGUGAGUAACACGUGAGUAACCUGCCCUUGACUUUGGGAUAACUUCAGGAAACUGGGGCUAAUACCGGAUAGGAGCUCCUGCUGCAUGGUGGGGGUUGGAAAGUUUCGGCGGUUGGGGGUGGACUCGCGGCUUAUCAGCUUGUUGGUGGGGUAGUGGCUUACCAAGGCUUUGACGGGUAGCCGGCCUGAGAGGGUGACCGGCCACAUUGGGACUGAGAUACGGCCCAGACUCCUACGGGAGGCAGCGGUGGGGAAUAUUGCACAAUGGGUGGAAGCCUGAUGCAGCAACGCCGUGUGCGGGAUGACGGCCUUCGGGUUGUAAACCGCUUUCGCUCAUGACGAAGCUUUGUGUGACGGUAGUGGGUAAAGAAGCACCGGCUAACUACGUG
rnacentral:rRNA from 1 species